rnacentral:rRNA from 1 species
GAUGAACGCUGGCGGCGUGCCUAAUACCUGCAAGUCGCGCGAAGCGGGGACGGGUGAGUAACACGUGGAUCAACUCCUCUCAGACUGGGAUAACUUCGGGAAACCGGAGCUAAACCGGAUACUUCUAGCUGGCUCCGCGCCGCAUUCGCUAGGUGGUACUGUAACGGCUUACCAAGGAAACGAUGCGUAUACGAACGGAGAGGGUGAUCGGACAAAGUGGAACUGAGACCAGGUCCAGACUCCUACGGUAGGCAGCAGUAGGGAAUCUUCCGCAAUGGGCGAAAGCCUGACGGAGCAAAGCCUCUGGAGGGAUGAAGGUCUUCGGAUCGUAAAACCCUGUUAUUAGGUAAGCGGUACCUAAUCAGAAAGCCACGGCUAACUACGUGCCAGCAGCCGCGGUAAUUC